CUCUCUCAUUCUUUGUGUGUUGUCCAAACAACACACACUGAGACACAGAGAGAGACAUAAACAAAGGUUGUUUUCAUGGAUUCCAUCAAUAGGAAUAACCAUAGAGAAAUAAAAUCACUUUCCAUGAUUCGGUUACAAGAGAAUAUCAUUUUGCUUCUCUCACAUUGGUAUGCUCUUCAAAUGGCCAUUAAGAACCAAUGGGGUGGUUGUGAUUCCAUCCACAAAUCACAUGAACUUGCUUCUAAUUUAUUCUCAUGGCUCUCCAAAUCCAAUGAACCAAUUUGUGUUGAAGAUUUAGAAAAUAUACUCCAUGAAUUUAUGUUGCUUACAUUCAAUACAGAGAUAGAAGAUGGUAGCAUUGAACAGGUAGCCGAACAAUUGAUAGCUAUCCAUGAAGAUUGCUUGUUACGUCACUCAUGUUAAUUAAUGUAUUUAUGAAGGAAGCUUAGUCAGAAAAUAAUUAACCUUUCAUUAAGGCUGUUCUGGAUUCAACAAUAGAUCCACCUCCCGCUCUCCUACCAAGCUAGACUAUGACUCUGAUAUCAUUUGUCAGGGAGUUCAGAAAAGUCGAGAGCAACAACGAGCGUCCAAUGCUCCAAGACCACAAAAGAGGGAGACACCACAUCUCCAACAAAAACCUUAAGGUAUCAGAUAUAUAGAUCCUCUCUAUUAUCAAUGCAACAUUCCACUCCUUCAUAGGCGAUGUGAGACUUAACUAUUCAUACU